GGCUCAUUACACUCCGCUUUGCGGAUCAUAGACAAGUUGGGUGUGUGAGAAAUAGUUAGGUCUACACACACAUCCAAUCUAGUUUCUGCCAUAUUGCUUUCACCUAUUCAGUCUGAUCAUUUCGGGAAAGGGAGUGAGCGAGGAUGCAAGGGAGGAAGCAUCACUUAGAAUGAAAUACAGCCAGUGUGCAGCGAAAAGCACCCAAACUUCUGCGCACGUAAACAUCGCAAACAUUCAUUCAAGAAUGCCGGCGAAAGAUGGAAGUUCCGUUAUUUUGAUGUCUUUCUUGACGACGAGGUGCUGAUGGCAUAGUGGUGUGAGUAAUGGCAUGGCCCAGAGUCCCAUGCCUCCUGUUGAUCCUGCUUCUCCUACUACACACCUGCUUACCUCAACCAGGCCCUCCAUCUCCUCCCUCCGCUCCACAGUGUCACAUCCCCUAUACGGAGGGACGACAGGCAGAUAUCCACUGUUUCUGGGAUCCAGGACAGGACCCACAGAUCCCCACCUCCUACAGCCUGCAUUGGAAUUCUACGGAGGGCAUUAGCAGCGCGGUGGAGGGCACCAAUGUGAGUGGCGUGAUCCCUCGUGAACUUUACACCAGUUACAGUGACCUGACUGUGUUGGUCAAAGCUGCGAACCAGCAUGGCUCUGCCACGUCUACAAUGGCUGCCUUCAACACUGGCGAUAUCAAAAAGCCACCCACCCCUGAAAUCACUCACUAUUGCCCUCAGCCUCUGGAGAUCUACUGGAUUGUGCAGUGUGAGGAUCAAGGCAGCUCUGACCAACUCUGUGAGGUCCAGUAUCGUACCCAGGACCAGCAGGGCUGGACUCAGAAAGAGGACAUCCUACGCAGCUUCCUGCUCCUGACUCCACGGCCCUACACUGUUUAUGAGUUCCAGGUGCGCUGUGCCUGUGAGGGCCCUCAGGCCCUGAUGAGUGACUGGAGCUCAGUCUACAAAGCAUGGAGUUCUGAGUCAGCGCCUGUGAAAGCAUUGGAUGUGUGGAGUGACUGUGGAGUCACCUCUGAGCCACCUCAAUGUGCCCUUAUGUGGAAGGAGAUGCCCACCUGGUUGGUUCAGGGGAAGGUGCUGGGGUACGUGGUGACAUUAUCAUACAGUAACGGGACAGUGGCGGUUGUGAACGUGUCCAUGUCAGAGCCUGGUGACCUUUGUGUGUGUCAAGAGAAGAGAUGCCGCUUCACACCCUCUCUGCGGGGUGUAUCAGGGGUGGAUGUGUCCGUCUACAAUUCCCAGGGUGCCACCAAACCUGCUCCCCUAGCUCUACCCACAUCAGGUAAGGGAAACCAUCAUUAAGUUUCCGGAUGACACAACAGUGGUAGGCCUGAUCACCGACAACAACAAGACAGCCUAUGAGGAGGAGGUUAGAGACCUGGCCGUGUGGUGCCAGGACAACAACCUUUCCCUCAACGUGAUCAAGACAAAUGAGAUGAUUGCGGACUACAGGAAAAAGAGGACCGAGCACGCCCCCAUUCUCAUCGACGAGGCUGCAGUGGAGCAGGUUGAGAGCUUCAAGUUCCUUGGUGUCCACAUCACCAACAAACUAACAUGGUCCAAGCACACCAAGACAGUCGUGGAGAGGGAAUGACAAAAACCUAUUCCCCAGGAGACUGAAAAGAUUUGGAAAUGGUCCUCAGAUCCUCAAAAGGUUCUACAGCUGCCCCAUCGAGAGCAUCCUGACUGGUUGCAUCACUGCCUGGUAUGGCAACUGCUCGGCCUCCGACCGCAAGGCACUACAGAGGGUAGUGCUGCCUGCCAUCCAGGACCUCUAUACCAGGCGGUGUCAGAGGGAGGCCCUAAAAAUGGUCUACAGUUGCCAGAGCUAUCCUUCACUGUGAACCAGGAUAUAUUGAGCCUCAAUGUAUCCUGGUCUCUGCCACCCCAGCCCAUU